GAUGAAGAACGUAGUGAAAUGCGAUAAGUAAUGUGAAUUGCAGAAUUCAGUGAAUCAUCGAAUCUUUGAACGCACAUUGCGCCCCCUGGUAUUCUGGGGGGCAUGCCUGUUCGAGCGUCAUUUCACCACUCAAGCCUCGCUUGGUAUUGGGCAACGCGGUCCGCCGCGUGCCUCAAAUCGACCGGCUGGGUCUUCUGUCCCCUAAGCGUUGUGGAAACUAUUCGCUAAAGGGUGCUCGGGAGGCUACGCCGUAAAACAAACCCAUUUCUAAGGUUGACCUCGGAUCAGGUAGGGAUACCCGCUGAACUUAAGCAUAUCAAUAAGCGGAGGA
rnacentral:misc_RNA from 1 species